rnacentral:rRNA from 1 species
CCUACGGGUGGCAGCAGUGAGGAAUAUUGGUCAAUGGACGAGAGUCUGAACCAGCCACGUAGCGUGAAGGAUGACUGCCCUAUGGGUUGUAAACUUCUUUUAUAUGGGAAUAAAAUGUUCCACGUGUGGGAUUUUGUAUGUACCAUAUGAAUAAGGAUCGGCUAACUCCGUGCCAGCAGCCGCGGUAAUACGGAGGAUCCGAGCGUUAUCCGGAUUUAUUGGGUUUAAAGGGAGCGUAGGUGGAUUGUUAAGUCAGUUGUGAAAGUUUGCGGCUCAACCGUAAGAUUGCAGUUGAAACUGGCAGUCGUGAGUACAGUGGUGGUGGGCGGAAUACGUGGUGUAGCGGUGAAGAGCUUAGAUAUAACGAAGAACGCCGAUUGCGAAGGCAGCUUACUAAGCUGCCACUGACAUUGAUGCUCGAAAGUGUGGGUAUCAAACAGGAGUAGAUGCCCCAGUAGUC